UAAGGAAUAUUGGACAAUGGGCGCAAGCCUGAUCCAGCCAUGCCGCGUGAAGGAUGAAGGCGCUCAGCGUUGUAAACUUCUUUUGGACGGGAACAAUACCCCUGAUGCGUCAGGGCUUGAGGGUACCGUCAGAAUAAGCACCGGCUAACUCCGUGCCAGCAGCCGCGGUAAUACGGAGGGUGCAAGCGUUAUCCGGAAUCACUGGGUUUAAAGGGUGCGUAGGCGGUCUUGUAAGUCAGUCGUGAAAUCG
rnacentral:rRNA from 1 species